CCGGCCGCCAGCGGCGCUCGCAAAGUUCGGAUCCGCAAGGACCGGGCCAGCGGGACGUCCGCGUGGCAGGGUGCACUUUCUCCGCGGUCGAGUGCUACGACCGGUUUCGAGGCGGUCAGAAGCCCGGCGGAAAGGUAGCGCCGCCCUUCGGGGUGUCGUGUUAUAGGCCGCUGCGGUGGACUCGCCGCGAGACCGAGGACGCUUGCCGCGCCGAGCGGUCCCGGGCCGUCUUGGGAGGUUCGACCUCGGCUGCACUGCUCCGCAGAGCACCGUAACCGCCGCCCUAGCACGGGUCCGGAGACCGCCGGCGCCUCGGGUCAGUAGCG
rnacentral:rRNA from 1 species